GACGAACGCUGGCGGCAGGCUUAAUACAUGCAAGUCGAGCGAGCGGCGGACGGGUGAGUAAUGUCUGGGAAACUGCCUGAUGGCGGGGAGUAGCUGCUGACAACGGUAGCUAAUAACGAAUACCCUCAGAUGUGCCCUGAUGGGAUUAGCUAUUAGGUGGGGUAAUGGCUCACCUAGGCGACGAUCCCUAGCUGGGCUGAGAGGAGGACCAGCCACACUGGAACUGAGACACGGUCCAGACUCCUACGUGAGGCAGCAGUGGGGAAGAUUGCACAAUGGGCGCAAGCCUGAUGCAGCAAUGCCGCGUGUGUGAAGAAGGCCUUCGGGUUGUAAAGCACUUUCAGCGGGGAGGCGUUACUCGCAGAAGAAGCACCGGCUAACUCCGUGCCAGCAGCCGCGGUAAUAC
rnacentral:rRNA from 1 species